CGCGAGGUAGAGCAGUUGGCAGCUCGUCGGGCUCAUAACCCGGAGGCCGUAGGUUCGAGUCCUACCCUCGCUA
rnacentral:tRNA from 1 species